rnacentral:rRNA from 1 species
CCCUUAGAUGUUCUGGGCGGCCCGCGCACUACAUUGGCACUCUCAAUAAGUUCCUAGAUCUAAAACUUUGGGGUAUUCCAUUAAGUGGUGUCGUGACUGGGAUUAACCCUUGCAAUUAUUGGUUACGAACGAGGAAUUCCUUGUAAUCGCGGUUUAUCAGCCCGCGUUGAAUGCGUCCCUGCCCUUUGUACACACCGCCCGUCGCUCCUACCGAUGAAUCGUCCGGUGAAGUUCAUGGAGUGGUGGUUGUUCCAGCUGCUGUCGAAGUGAAAUGGACCUCACGAUUUAGAGGAAGGAGAAGUCGUAACA